rnacentral:rRNA from 1 species
CAGCCGCCGCGGUAAUACGUAGGGUGCGAGCGUUAAUCGGAUUUACUGGGCGUAAAGCGUGCGCAGGCGGCCCGUUAAGACAGGUGUGAAAUCCCUGGGCUCAACCUAGGAAUUGCGCUUGUGACUGGCGGGCUCGAGUACGGUAGAGGGGGGUGGAAUUCCUGGUGUAGCAGUGAAAUGCGCAGAGAUCAGGAGGAACACCGAUGGCGAAGGCAGCCCCCUGGGCCUGUACUGACGCUCAUGCACGAAAGCGUGGGGAGCAAACAGGAUUAGAUACCCUGGUAGUCCACGCCCUAAACGAUGGGUACUAGCCGUUUGGUGCGCGAUAGCGCUGAGUGGCGAAGCUAACGCGUGAAGUACCCCGCCUGGGGAGUACGGCCGCAAGGUUGAAACUUAAAGGAAUUGGCGGG